CCCUUAGAUGUUCUGGGCCGCACGCGCGCUACACUGACGAAUGCAACGAGCUUAUAACCUUGGCCGAAAGGUCUGGGUAAUCUCCAAAUUUCGUCGUGAUGGGGAUAGAUUAUUGCAAUUAUUAAUCUUCAACGAGGAAUGCCUAGUAAGCGCAAGUUAUCAGCUUGCGUUGAUUACGUCCCUGCCCUUUGUACACACCGCCCGUCGCUCCUACCGAUUGAAUGGUCCGGUGAAGCGUUCGGACCGUGGCCUUUGGACGGUUCGCCGUCUUGUUGGCUGCGGGAAGUUCGUUAAACCUUAUCAUUUAGAGGAAGGAGAAGUCGUANCA
rnacentral:rRNA from 1 species